rnacentral:RNase_P_RNA from 2 species
CCAGGGGGCCGGGCAGCCGCGUGCGCCGCAAGGUGCUCGAGGAAAGUCCGGGCUCCACGAAACAAGGGUGGCGGGUAACGCCCGCCGCGGGCAACCGUAGGGAAAGUGCCACAGAAAGUAGACCGCCUCUCUCGAGAGGUAAGGCUGAAAGGGUGCGGUAAGAGCGCACCGGGGUCCUGGUAACAGGGCUCGCACGGCAAACCCCACCCGGAGCAAGGCCAAAUAGGGGUCUCGCGCGAAAGCAGGGGCGUUUCGUCCCGAGAGACCCGGGUUGGCUGCUUGAGCCGCGCGGCAACGCACGGCCGAGAUGAAUGGCUGCCCCGGCGGCGUGGGUCCUUCGGGAUACCGCCCGCCGGACAGAACCCGGCUUACAGGCCCCCUGGCGAU